rnacentral:sRNA from 1 species
UGCGUAUUGUUAUCAGUGCGGCGGUGUA